GACGAACGCUGGCGGCGUGCUUAACACAUGCAAGUCGAACGGAAAGGCCCUGCUUUUGUGGGGUGCUCGAGUGGCGAACGGGUGAGUAACACGUGAGUAACCUGCCCUUGACUUUGGGAUAACUUCAGGAAACUGGGGCUAAUACCGGAUAGGAGCUCCUGCUGCAUGGUGGGGGUUGGAAAGUUUCGGCGGUUGGGGAUGGACUCGCGGCUUAUCAGCUGGUUGGUGGGGUAGUGGCUUACCAAGGCUUUGACGGGUAGCCGGCCUGAGAGGGUGACCGGCCACAUUGGGACUGAGAUACGGCCCAGACUCCUACGGGAGGCAGCAGUGGGGAAUAUUGCACAAUGGGCGGAAGCCUGAUGCAGCAACGCCGCGUGCGGGAUACCGGCCUUCGGGUUGUAAACCGCUUUCGCCUGUGACGAAGCGUGAGUGACGGUAAUGGGUAAAGAAGCACCGGCUAACUACGUG
rnacentral:rRNA from 1 species